rnacentral:rRNA from 1 species
CGAAGCGUGCGAUUGGAUUGCACGUCUAAGCAGUAAGGCUGAGUAUUAGGCAAAUCCGGUACUCAUUAAGGCUGAGCUGUGAUGGGGAGAAGACAUUGUGUCUUCGAGUCGUUGAUUUCACACUGCCGAGAAAAGCCUCUAGAUAGAAAAUAGGUGCCCGUACCGCAAACCGACACAGGUAGUCAAGAUGAGAAUUCUAAGGUGAGCGAGCGAACUCUCGUUAAGGAACUCGGCAAAAUGACCCCGUAACUUCGGGAGAAGGGGUGCUCUUUAGGGUUAACGCCCAGAAGAGCCGCAGUGAAUAGGCCCAAGCGACUGUUUAUCAAAAACACAGGUCUCUGCUAAACCGUAAGGUGAUGUAUAGGGGCUGACGCCUGCCCGGUGCUGGAAGGUUAAGAGGAGUGGUUAGCUUCUGCGAAGCUACGAAUCGAAGCCCCAGUAAACGGCGGCCGUAACUAUAACGGUCCUAAGGUAGCGAAAUUCCUUGUCGGGUAAGUUCCGACCCGCACGAAAGGCGUAACGAUUUGGGCACUGUCUCAACGAGAGACUCGGUGAAAUCAUAGUACCUGUGAAGAUGCAGGUUACCCGCGACAGGACGGAAAGACC